UACGUAGGUCCCGAGCGUUGUCCGGAUUUAUUGGUCGUAAAGCGAGCGCAGGUGGUUUAUUAAGUCUGGUGUAAAAGGCAGUGGCUCAACCAUUGUAUGCAUUGGAAACUGGUAGACUUGAGUGCAGGAGAGGAGAGUGGAAUUCCAUGUGUAGCGGUGAAAUGCGUAGAUAUAUGGAGGAACACCGGUGGCGAAAGCGGCUCUCUGGCCUGUAACUGACACUGAGGCUCGAAAGCGUGGGGAGCAAACAGG
rnacentral:rRNA from 1 species